rnacentral:lncRNA from 1 species
UUGAUUAGGGCUUAGGAUUUGGUCUAAGAUUUGGUUAGGAUUAAGAUUUUUUUAAGUUUUGGUUUAGAAUUUGACUAGAAUUUGAUAAAGAUUUGAUUUAGGAUUUGUAUACAAUUUGAUAAAGGCUUAAGAUUUGAUCUAGGAUUUGAUUUAAAACUUGAUUAAGAUUUAAUUAGAAUUUAUUUAGGACUUGAUUAGGAUUUUAUUUAAGAUUUAAUUAAAG